rnacentral:rRNA from 1 species
UACGUAGGGACCAAGCGUUGUUCGGAUUUACUGGGCGUAAAGGGCGCGUAGGCGGCAUUGUUAGUCACUUGUGAAAUCUCCGGGCUUAACUCGGAACGGCCAAGUGAUACUGCAGUGCUAGAGUGCGGAAGGGGCAAUCGGAAUUCUCGGUGUAGCGGUGAAAUGCGUAGAUAUCGAGAGGAACACCUGAGGUGAAGACGGGUUGCUGGGCCGACACUGACGCUGAUGCGCGAAAGCCAGGGGAGCAAACGGG